rnacentral:rRNA from 1 species
AACGCGAAGAACCUUGGCCGAGCUCGGAAUGCAAUCGACGAUCUAUGAAAGUAGAUUUCCAGCAAUGGCGAUUGUGUAGGUGCUGCAUGGUUGUCGUCAGCUCGUGCCGUGAGGUGUCGGCUUAAGUGCCAUAACGAGCGCAACCCACAUUAUUAGUUACUAACAGGUUAAGCUGAGGACUUUAAUAAGACUGCCGGCGUAAGCUGUGAGGAAGGUGUGGAUGACGUCAAAUACAGUCGGCCCUUACGUCCGGGGCGACACACGUGUUACAAUGGGUGGUACAAAGGGGAGCUACUGUGCGAGCAGAUGCUAAUCUCCAAAGCCACUCCCAGUUCGGAUCGGAGUCUGCAACUCAACUCCGUGAAGCUGGAUUCGCUAGUAAUCGCGCAUCAGCCAUGGCGCGGUGAAUACGUUCCCGGGCCUUGUACACACCG